UACAGAGGUCUCAAGCGUUUGUUCGGAUUCAUUGGGCGUAAAGGGUGCGUAGGCGGCGCGGUAAGUCGGGUGUGAAAUCUCGGAGCUUAACUCCGAAACUGCAUUCGAUACUGCCGUGCUUGAGGACUGGAGAGGAGACUGGAAUUUACGGUGUAGCGGUGAAAUGCGUAGAUAUCGUAAGGAAGACCAGUGGCGAAGGCGGGUCUCUGGACAGUUCUGACGCUGAGGCACGAAGGCCAGGGGGAGCAAACGGGG
rnacentral:rRNA from 1 species